rnacentral:rRNA from 1 species
CGGAGGCUACCGCUAUUGGAGUCCGAUUAAGACAUGCGAGUCGAGAGCUUUCGGAGCUCGGCAUACUGCUCAGUAACACGUGGGUAACCUGCCCUGUGCUGGGGGAUAACCUCGGGAAACUGAGAACAAUACCCCAUAGUCCACUACGCCUGGAACGGUGAGUGGAUGAAAGCCCCGGCGGCACAGGAUGGGCCUGCGGCGUAUCAGGUAGUAGGGGGUGUAAAGUACCCUCUAGCCUUCGACGCGUACGGGUUGUGAGAGCAAUAGCCCGGAGAUGGAUUCUGAGACACGAAUCCAGGUCCUACGGGACGCAGCAGUCGCGAAACCUUGACAAUGCGGGAAACCGUGAUCAGGGGACUCCAAGUGCCAGGAGUAAGAUCCUGUGCUUUUCUUUUCUCUUCAAAGGAUUUGGAAUAAGAGGUGGGUAAGGACGGUGCCAGCCGCCGCGGUAAUACCGGCGCCUCGAGUGGUAGUCGAUUUUAUUGGGCCUAAAACGUCCGUCGCCGGUCUGGUGCAUUCGUGGGUAAAUCAACCCGCUCAACGGGUUGAAUUCUGCGAGCACGGCCAGACUAGGGACCGGGAGAGGUGUGGGGUACGCUCGGGGUAGGGGUAAAAUCCUGUCAUCCCGAGCGGACCACCUGUUGCGAAGGCUCCACACUAGAACGGAUCCGACGGUCAGGGACGAAGCCUAGGGGCACGAACCCGGAUUAGAUACCCGGGUAGUCCUAGGUGUAAACCUGUGGACUUGGUGUUGGGAGCUCCCAGAGGGCUCUCAGUGCCKUAGCGAAGGUGAUAAGUCCACUGCCUGGGGAGUACGGUCGCAAGCUGAAAUCUUAAAGGAAUUGGCGGGG